UUCCGAUUCCAGAUCUUGGGACUCACAUUAAGACUCACCCUUCCUUGCUGUUGUCACCAGCGAAGGAAAAAGUCAGAUCCAGAUCCAGGCCCUUGGACUAUAAUUUGACAGUUUGCUUAACCUCGAAGGGUUGCAUUCUUCUGCGGUUUAAAAUGGAAAUAUUAAUAUUUGCCUCCAGGGUUAUGGGGACAAAAUGAGUUGUUACAGAAGCUCUUGGAAGAGGGCUGCUGGGUUCUGGUUCCUGUUCUGUGGAGGAGCUGAUGCCUGUGGGUCUCGGGCUUCAAGAAGUCAUGGAUACUGCCUGCGGGCUGCAAGGGUCCUCACCACAGCCCUGGUUUCCCCUCAGCUCCCUCGGUGCAGGUGUGGUUCCCAAAUCUCCAAAAAUUUUUAAGAGAACUGCCCACAUCAUUGUUUCAUUAAGGACCAUUUCAAUGGUAAGAUGGCUCAGUGGGUAAAGGGGCUUGCUGCGAAGUCUGGAAAUCUGAGUUCAAUCACUGGAAGAGAACAGACCACAUGAAGAUGAGAGGCCAGAGGACCUCAGGUGUCAUUCUCAGGAACUCCAUCCACCUCCUUGGAACAGGAACUCUGGCAGACCUGUAACUCACCAAUUAGGUUGGACUGGCUGGCCAGGGAGCUACAGAGAUCCUCCUGUCUUCACAGCUCUGGAAAUAUAAGUGGGAACCGCCACACUUGACUUUUUAUAUGGGUUCUGGGUAUUAAACAGGUUAUCAAAGGAAGAAAGUUCUGUACCAAUGGAAUUGUCUUCCCUGACCCUGGAGAUAGGAUCUUAUGCUGUAGCCCAGACUGGACUUGAACCUCUGAUUUUUCUGCCUGUUGCUCAAGUGUUGAGAUUAAAGACCUGAGCCACCAUAUUUGGCACAUUAAAAGACUUUGGAAAUGCUAAA